rnacentral:tRNA from 1 species
GGCUCGGUGGUCUAGGGGUAUGAUUCUUUCUUCGGGUGCGAGAGGUCCCGGGUUCAGAUCCCGGCCGUGCCC